rnacentral:rRNA from 1 species
GAUGAACGCUGGCGGCGUGCUUAACACAUGCAAGUCGAACGGAAAGGCCCAAGCUUGCUUGGGUACUCGAGUGGCGAACGGGUGAGUAACACGUGGGCGAUCUGCCCUGCACUUCGGGAUAAGCCUGGGAAACUGGGUCUAAUACCGGAUAGGACGAUGGUUUGGAUGCCAUUGUGGAAAGUUUUUUCGGUGUGGGAUGAGCUCGCGGCCUAUCAGCUUGUUGGUGGGGUAAUGGCCUACCAAGGCGUCGACGGGUAGCCGGCCUGAGAGGGUGUACGGCCACAUUGGGACUGAGAUACGGCCCAGACUCCUACGGGAGGCAGCAGUGGGGAAUAUUGCACAAUGGGCGCAAGCCUGAUGCAGCGACGCCGCGUGGGGGAUGACGGCCUUCGGGUUGUAAACUCCUGUCGCUAGGGACGAAGCGUUUUUGUGACGGUACCUGGAGAAGAAGCACCGGCUAACUACGUG